UUGUUCAAACAUUAGCUUUUGUUUGGGAAGGGUUAAAUAUUUUAUUUUAUUUUAUUUUUUGGUUUUGAUGGUGAGCAUUUCUGCUCUCUCGUUGUCAAUAGAAUGCAUAUCCUGCUCAUCGCUGGUGGUUUUUAGAUGGUCCUUGGGCAGCUAGUUAAUCUGCCACAAGCAAGAGAGGUUUUCAAGUGUUUAUUGUGUUUUUGGUUGUCAAAUUCUAUCUACUGCCAACGGGAGUCUUUUGGGUUUGAACCAACUGCCUUGAGUUAU
rnacentral:misc_RNA from 1 species